rnacentral:lncRNA from 1 species
GGUAUGCCAUGUCAAAUCAAAAAAGGAGUUUACAAGAUUAAACAUGCUGUAAAUAUUCCAUCAGAUUUCAGUGUUCCUUCUUUUCUUGUUAGUGGAACUUACAAAAUUAAUGCUGAAGCAAGAAAAGAUAAAAAAGUUUACGGAUGCGUUGAUAUAGAAGCUGUUUUAGAAUAAAAAAAUAACAAAUAAACUUGAAGAUUAUUUUUGUGAUGAAGAAGAAAAAAUUAUUAUAAAGUUGUUUGUAAAACUGUCUAAAUUAAAGAUUACUCAUUAAACUUU